rnacentral:rRNA from 1 species
AGAGGAAGUAAAAGUCGUAACAAGGUUUCCGUAGGUGAACCUGCGGAAGGAUCAUUCAUAAUAAGUGUUUUAUGGCACUUUUUAAAUCCAUAUCCACCUUGUGUGCAAUGUCAGGGUUGAUUUCUCUCUCGGGAAAGAUCAGCCCCAAACAUCAACUAUUAUCUCAACUCUUUGUCUGAAAAAUAUUAUGAAUAAAAACAAUUCAAAAUACAACUUUCAACAACGGAUCUCUUGGCUCUCGCAUCGAUGAAGAACGCAGCGAAAUGCGAUACGUAAUGUGAAUUGCAGAAUUCAGUGAAUCAUCGAAUCUUUGAACGCAUAUUGCGCUCUUUGGUAUUCCGAAGAGCAUGCUUGUUUGAGUAUCAGUAAACACCUCAAAGUCUUUUUUUUUCUUGAAGAAAAAAGACCUUGGACUUGAGCAAUCCCAACUCUUCCUUUCAGAAGAGGCGGGUUGCUUGAAAUGCAGGUGCAGCUGGACAUUCUCCUGAGCUAAAAGCAUAUUCAUUUAGUCCCGUCAAACGGAUUAUUACUUUUGCUGCAGCUAACAUAAAGGGAGUUUGACCAUUUUGGCUGACUGAUGCAGGAUUUUCACAAGAGUCUUCAAAACACUCUUGUUAAACUCGAUCUCAAAUCAAGUAAGACUACCCGCUGAACUUAAGCAUAUCAUAG